rnacentral:lncRNA from 1 species
GACAGACCUUACAACCUGCAGCAGCAGUUGCUUUCCCAGAGGACCAAAUUCCUGGUCCCCACUGUUUGUUCAGACUUAGCUUCCUGCCAGGGGUCAUUUCUCUGGUUCCUUUCACCAACAUGCACAAGUGAUUAUGCUCUGUAAGAGCAGUUUUCAGGCCAUAGUGCUGACGGAACAAGAGCUAUGUGUGUUCCCUCCCCACGAACUGAUGCUUUUGCUGCCUGCAGUGCUCCCAGAAGUGAAGGCGAGGCUUGUAGGAAGCAAUCUCUCUUGUUAGAUUAGCCUGUAGAUUUCAGACAAAACAGACAAGUCAUUCUUCAGGCUAAAAGCCUAUCUAUUUUUUUUUUCCCAUUUGUAUCAGCGCUGUUUUUCCCAUCUUUAUCUGUGCAUUGCAUACAACCAGCUGAUAAAAGACAUGCACCGUGCUGUCCAACACUGAGGUGCUGCCUGGGCUUGGCAGCAACCUGUGAUCUGGUUGAGCUCAGUUGUAACCUGCCUCUCUCUGCAAGCCCCUUAAUAUCCCUGGAGGUGCCUUUCCCAGGCAGCUCAUGGGAACUGGGGUCAGAUACAGCCCUCUUCCUAUCCCCGUCCCUGGCUGCAACAGCUGGGAUUGUUUCUCUGCAAGUCUAAUAUGGUACGUGUGGUCCCCCUCCUGGAGCACUGCUGGGUGUAAGCUGAGCCCCAGAGCUGUCUGUAGGAAGCUGUGGUGGAGAGCAGUGCAAGGAUCCCACGGGCAUCUACUUUCCUGCUGCACCUUCUGCUCACACCCCCAAGAACUUCUGCCUUUCAGACCCCGCAGGAACCACAUUUAG